UCUGGUUGAUCCUGCCAGUAGUCAUAUGCUUGUCUCAAAGACUAAGCCAUGCAUGUCUAAGUGUAAAUGAUACAUAAUGAAACUGGGAAUGGCUCAUUAAAACAGUUAUAGUUUAUUUGGUAAUCGAAUUUACAUGGAUAACCGUGGUAAUUCUAGAGCUAAUACAUGCUGUUGUGCCCAACUUUUCGGAAGGGCCGUAUUUAUUAGAUAACAGGCCAAUAUUCCUCGUGUCUAUUGUGGUGAAUCAUAGUAACUGAUCGGAUCGCAUGGGCUUGUCCCGCGACAAACCAUUCAAGUUUCUGCCCCAUCAGCUUUCUGGUAGUGUAUUGGACUACCAUGGCUUUCACGGGUAACGGAGGAUUAGGGUUCGAUUCCGGAGAGGGAGCCUGAGAAACGGCUACCACUUCUAAGGAAGGCAGCAGGCGCGUAAAUUACCCAAUGCUAAUUCAGCGAGGUAGUGACAAGAAAUAACGGACUGGAGUUAUACUCCGGGACUGAAAUGAGUUUAAUUUACACCACUUUUCGAGGAUCAAUUGGAGGGCAAGUCUGGU
rnacentral:rRNA from 1 species